rnacentral:rRNA from 1 species
UACGUAGGGGGCAAGCGUUGUCCGGAAUUAUUGGGCGUAAAGCGCGCGCAGGCGGUUCUUUAAGUCUGGUGUAUAAGUGCGGGGCUCAACCCCGUGAGGCACUGGAAACUGGGGAACUUGAGUGCAGAAGAGGAGAGCGGAAUUCCACGUGUAGCGGUGAAAUGCGUAGAGAUGUGGAGGAACACCAGUGGCGAAGGCGGCUCUCUGGGCAGAUACUGACGCUGAGACGCGAAAGCAUGGGGAGCAAACAGG